rnacentral:rRNA from 1 species
GGUGAUCUGAGGAGGGUAAAUCCGUUGAUAUAGGAAGACUUUCGAUGGCGAAGGCAUUUACCGAUUUGGUUCUGACGCUAGGGUACUAAAGCUUGGGUAGAAAGAGGAUUAGAGACCUCGCUAGUCCAUGCCUUAAACAAUGAGUGUUCAACGUCUUAUAAUACUCUGGACCACCUUGCAGUGGUAUCCUUCGAGGAUUAUUGGGGGUUUGAAGCUAACGCGCGAAACA